rnacentral:lncRNA from 1 species
CCCCUAGAUUCAGGACUGCGCCUUACACUGUCCAAGUCACCUGCCACAUACUGUCUUAGCCUUGAAAUUGUAGAUUGGUGGUGAUCGUCAGUUGUACUUCAUGUUAUUUUAAUAACUACUGUCUGUAUAAUUAUUCUACAGCAAAAGCUCCCCCAAAUCCAAAAGGGGAAAAAAGUGAGGGAUGAAUUGAAACUUUGUAUAUAUAAAAGUUAUUUUAUAAAUGUUUUAGUCUUCCAGUUUCUGCAAAAUAAUUAAAAUAUACAGUAACUGGUCUCUUAAACCCUGAACUUAAUGUAUUAAAUACUUAUAAAAUUUUAUAUUGGUGCCUUUUAAAAAUGCAUUGAGAGUGUUGGUUAGCUCUUUAGCUCUACCACACUUUUACUGUGUAUUUUUUAAGAAAAAAAAAAAUCACAUAAAAUCUAAGUACUCUCUAAUUCACCUUUGUGUUCUUAGAAGAAGAAGAAAAAAACUGCUAAAAGAAUUUCCAGACUUUUAGCUGAGCUGGCAAAAGUGACAAAAAAAAAAAAAAAAAAAACAAACUUUGAAACCAGAUUUUAAUCUUUUUAGCUUGAUGAUAUUUCUGGACAUUAUUCUAUGGUAGAGGCAAAAUAGAAGGUAGACUCACAUAUCAGCAAUGAAUUGGAUUAUGCUAUAUGUUUUGAUUUCUUCUUGAGGAAGAAUAUGUUUUGCAUCACACAGGGGUUUCUUUGUAUAAUUUGGAGUCAGUAAUUACAGUAUUGCUUUGCUUUGUUUUAAAUACCCGACUGAUGUUACUCUAGUCUUGGGUCUUCUGUCUCUUCUGUCUUCUAACCUGUGGUUGUUUUGUGAAAUGGCGUGGGAAUGCAGAUCAUUGUCUCCUCUUGAACAAGACAAAGCUCAGCACACUAGUCCCGUGACUGGUCUCCAAAAUGUCAUCUCAGAUGUGUAGUCUGGGGUCGUCUGUCACUUCUAAGGGGUGUCUUCAACUAUGACAGCUUUUUAAAAACGAGCUGCUGGCUGGGUAAAGCAGACAUCAUAUGACCAAGAAGCUGUGAUACGCUAGUGUUUCCUUCUGUCAUCGUGUUGUACUCUUAGGCCAAAUAAUGACACCUUGACUGUUUUUACAUUUACUACAGAAACCUAAACUUUUGGAAUUUUCAAAGGUUUUUAUGUAAUGUUCUAUUUCACAGCGGUUUCCUUUUCUCUUGCUGUACUGAGUCUGUGAGUAUUUUUUUUUUCAGAUGCACUCUUGGAAAUAAGUUCUGAAUUCUGUUUAUGGCGUUUCUCUCGCUUGACACUCCGUGUAUAGAUGUUCUGUAUAAGUUUGUUAUGAAUCCACCUUUCUCAUGUAUGGACAGUGAGAAGUACAUGAACAACUAGUUUCCUAAGAUGACUUUUAUAUUAUGAAUUAAUAUGAAAUUUACAGGUCAUGUGCACCUUAAGUGCAGAAUCAAAACUUCCUAUAGGUCCACAUAAGCAGUUCUCAGUGAACCGGGCCUUCAGUUUACCUCAAGUGACAUGUAGUAAGGAAAGCCCGGGAACAUGGAGGUCACUCUCUGCAGCACAGUGCACUUAGUAGCAUGUUGCUGAAUCUCAGUUACAGAAAAUGGAUAUUUAAAGGAACACACUGGAAGGAUGCAAGGGAUUGAGGGACUGCUGAUAUUUUCGUUGUUGCUGUUGCUUUGUGCUUUUCAAAAAGUUGUUCAAAUUAUGGAACUGUGAUCUAAAAACGGUUUGACAGUGGAGCACCAGAGAGGAUGUCCACCACUCACUUGCCCUUCGGUACGACUAAGCUCUGAGUUUGCGUCUUCAACUCUACCUUCCUCUCCCCUCCUCAUCCCUACUCUGUCUGUGGCCCUCCUCUCGGUGUCAUUUCCUCUUGGUGGCUCUCUUGACACUCCUACUAGUUAGGAGGUCAACUCUGAACUUCUGACUCAUUAAAUCUUAAUUUUUGUCUCAGUGGUUUUAGUUAGCUGUGUAGUCUGCUGGCGUAUUUUUAUACCCACGUGUAGUUUUAUAUUUUUAAAGCGUGGUUGAGUUGACAUGGUGCACUCCGUAGUCCUUAUUUUGCUUCACUCUCAAGUAGGAGGCACCUAACGUGACUCCAGAAAUUCUGUAAUCAGAGUAUCCGUCUGGCUCCUUUGUGCUUGGAUUUUGAUUUGUUUGGCUUUCUUCUUAAAUACAAAUCAUACAAGAGUAGACUUUCCCCCCACCAUAGAGGAUAAAAAUGUAAAGCAAAGAGUCUUAACUUUCUCCCAACCGGGGGGCGGGGCGAGUGCUGUCCCACUUCUGCAGUGAUGUUCCAGGCUCAGAGGGGUCUCCAGACCCCAGGCUUGCCUGUCAUCGGGUCUCUUCGACCCUGUUAUUUGCAGCUUUGGGAUGGUUUCUUUUGCUAUGGAGUUUAACAGCUCUUCUUUUUUCCAUAAAAGUGCAAUACCCCUCUUGAAGUCUUAAAAACUAUGGUAAUUUUCUUCUUUUCUUUCUCUGACAUUUGUCUCAUUAGCCAAUGAUGAAAAGAAAUCUUUGGAAAUUCUAACAUGUCAUAGGACAUAGGCAAAUAUGGAAACCACUCUGCUAUGAAAAGUUG